UGAAAUCCUGUGAAAAAGAGAGUAGCAUAAAGCUAGUUGAUAGAGAGCUGGGAAUGGUGGAAGCCUAGUAACGAAUUUUAUUGUGAAUAGAGCUUUGGAGGAGAUUACCAGAAGUAAUAGUAUGGUAAUUGGUGAAUCUCGCCUUAAGAGAUUAGAGUGGGUAAGAUUAUCUUAUCAAUUAGAGUGGUAACGCGGGUGUAUAUUCGUCUCUUGG
rfam:Clostridium difficile 630 complete genome